rnacentral:rRNA from 1 species
GGCUUAGAGUUUGAUCAUGGCUCAGGAUAAACGCUGGCGGCGCACAUAAGACAUGCAAGUCGAACGGACUUAACCAUUAGUUUACUAUUGGAGCGGUUAGUGGCGGACUGGUGAGUAACACGUAAGCAACCUGCCUAUCAGAGGGGAACAACAGUUAGAAAUGACUGCUAAUACCGCAUAUGCCUAAGUAUCGCAUGAUACAAUAGGGAAAGGAGCAAUCCGCUGAUAGAUGGGCUUGCGUCUGAUUAGAUAGUUGGUGUGGUAACGGCAUACCAAGUCGACGAUCAGUAGCCGGACUGAGAGGUUGAACGGCCACAUUGGGACUGAGAUACGGCCCAGACUCCUACGGGAGGCAGCAGUCGGGAAUAUUGCGCAAUGGAGGAAACUCUGACGCAGCGACGCCGCGUGCAGGAAGAAGGUUUUCGGAUUGUAAACUGCUUUAGACAGGGAAGAUAAUGACAGUACCUGUAGAAUAAGCUCCGGCUAACUACGUGCCAGCAGCCGCGGUAAUACGUAGGGAGCAAGCGUUAUCCGGAUUUAUUGGGUGUAAAGGGUGCGUAGACGGGAGAGCAAGUUGGUUGUGAAAUCCCUCGGCUUAACUGAGGAACUGCAACCAAAACUAUUCUUCUUGAGUGCUGGAGAGGAAAGUGGAAUUCCUAGUGUAGCGGUGAAAUGCGUAGAUAUUAGGAGGAACACCAGUGGCGAAGCGACUUUCUGGACAGUAACUGACGUUGAGGCACGAAAGUGUGGGGAGCAAACAGGAUUAGAUACCCUGGUAGUCCACACCGUAACGAUGGAUACUAGUGUAGGGAUGAUAUCUNUGUGCGUCGCAACGCAGUAGUAUCCNNCUGGGAGUACGCGCAG